rnacentral:rRNA from 1 species
AACGAACGCUGGCGGCAGGCCUAACACAUGCAAGUCGAGCGGACCUUUCGGGGUCAGCGGCGGACGGGUGAGUAACGCGUGGGAAUAUGCCCUUCUCUACGGAAUAGUCCUGGGAAACUGGGGGUAAUACCGUAUACGCCCUUUGGGGGAAAGAUUUAUCGGGGAAGGAUUAGCCCGCGUUGGAUUAGGUAGUUGGUGGGGUAAUGGCCUACCAAGCCGACGAUCCAUAGCUGGUUUGAGAGGAUGAUCAGCCACACUGGGACUGAGACACGGCCCAGACUUCCAACGGGGGCAGGAAGUGGAAACCUAGAACAUGGGGGGAACCCCGAACCUGGCCAGCCGCGGUAGGUAAUGAGGGCUUAAGGGUGGAAAGCCUCUUCAACCUGGGAAGUUAUGAACGUACCAACAAAAAGAGGCCCCGCCAACUCCCGG